rnacentral:rRNA from 1 species
CCCUUAGAUGUCCGGGGCUGCACGCGCGCUACACUGAGCCCUUCAGCGAGUUUGAUUAUCCUGGCACGAAAGUGCUGGGCAAUCUGGUGAAACGCGUUCGUGAUUGGGAUCGGGACUUGCAAUUAUUUCCCUUGAACGAGGAAUCCCUAGUAAGUGCAGGUCAUCAGCUUGCGUUGAUUACGUCCCUGCCCUUUGUACACACCGCCCGUCGCUGCCCGGAACUGAGCCGUUUCGAGAAAUGCGAGGACUGCCGGCUAGCUGAUUUCACGAUUGGUUAGCUGGCGGAAAUCGCCUUAAUCGCAGCGGCUUGAACCGGGCAAAAGUCGUAACA